rnacentral:rRNA from 1 species
CCCUUAGAUGUCCUGGGCUGCACGCGUGCUACACUGGAAGUUACGGAUUGAGAUACUACCUUGUCCGAAAUGGUCCGGGUAAUCACCUAAAAGCUUGUCAUAAUUGGAAUGGAUUAUUGUAACUAGUAAUCCUGAACGAGGAAUUCCUAGUAAGUCCCAGUCAACAGCUGGUACUGAUUACGUCCCUGCCCUUUGUACACACCGCCCGUCGCUACUACUGAUUGGACGUUUAAGCAAGAUUUUUAAACACUGACAGUGUGUAGUUCACGCUAUACUACAGUGAGAAGAAGAAGAUCGAGCUUACUUGUCUAGAGGAAGUAAAAGUCGUAACA